rnacentral:rRNA from 1 species
GUGCUUGCACUCUGCUGACGACCGGCGCACGGGUGCGUAACGCGUAUGCAAUCUACCUCUUACUGAGGGAUAGCCCAUGGAAACGUGGAUUAAUACCUCAUAGUAUUAUAGACUGGCCUCAGUUUAUGAUUAAAGGUUACGGUAAGAGAUGAGCAUGCGUCCUAUUAGCUAGAUGGUAAGGUAACGGCUUACCAUGGCAACGAUAGGUAGGGGUCCUGAGAGGGAGAUCCCCCACACUGGUACUGAGACACGGACCAGACUCCUACGGGAGGCAGCAGUGAGGAAUAUUGGACAAUGGGCGAGAGCCUGAUCCAGCCAUGCCGCGUGCAGGAAGACGGCCCUAUGGGUUGUAAACUGCUUUUACAGAGGAAGAACCCUCCUUACGAGUAAGGAGCUGACGGUACUCUAUGAAUAAGGAUCGGCUAACUCCGUGCCAGCAGCCGCGGUAAUACGGAGGAUCCAAGCGUUAUCCGGAAUCAUUGGGUUUAAAGGGUCCGUAGGCGGGUUUAUAAGUCAGUGGUGAAAGUCUGCAGCUUAACUGUAGAACUGCCAUUGAUACUGUAGACCUUGAAUUAGUAUGAAGUGGUUAGAAUGUGUAGU